AUUGAACGCUGGCGGCAUGCCUAACACAUGCAAGUCGAACGGAGGGCUUCGGCCCUCAGUGGCGGACGGGUGAGUAACGCGUAGGGAUCUGCCCCGUAGUGGGGGACAACCUGGGGAAACUCAGGCUAAUACCGCAUACGCUCCACGGAGGAAAGCGGGGGGACCUUCGGGCCUCGCGCUGCGGGAUGAACCUACGUCCGAUUAGCUAGUUGGUGGGGUAAAGGCCCACCAAGGCGACGAUCGGUAGCUGGUCUGAGAGGACGGCCAGCCACACUGGGACUGAGACACGGCCCAGACUCCUACGGGAGGCAGCAGUGGGGAAUAUUGGACAAUGGGCGCAAGCCUGAUCCAGCAAUGCCGCGUGGGUGAAGACGGCCUGCGGGUUGUAAAGCCCUUUAGGCGGGAAGAACGGCCGGGCGUAAAUAGCGCGCGGCUCUGACGUUACCCGCAAAAUAAGCACCGGCUAACUCCGUGCCAGCAGCCGCGGUAAU
rnacentral:rRNA from 1 species